rnacentral:lncRNA from 1 species
UUUUUUUUUUUAGGGCGGCACCCGUGGCAUAUGGAGGUUCCCAGGCUAGGGGUCGAAUUAGAGCUACAGCUGCCGGUCUAUACCACGGCCACAGCAACAUCAGAUCCAAGCCAUGUCUUUGACUUAUACCAUAGCUCACGGCAACGCUGGAUCCUUAAGCCACCGAGUGAGGCCAGGGAUCGAACCUGCAUCCUCAGGAUGUUAGAUUCAUUUCCAUUGAGCCACGACAGGAACUCCUAUACCGAAUAUUUUCAUUGACAUUAUUAACACCAUUAUGACUGAAUGGGUUUUUCAAAUACCUUAUAAAAAACGGAGAUGGGCCAGUAAAAGUUGUGAGGCCUCACUCCUACCCUCCCAACAUGGUAGCGUUGAACAAAGAAGAGAAAAACAAUGACUUGUCCCUCAGCCAUAGCCCCCACGCCCCAGCAGCCUUCAGGCCGGCUUGAAACCGACAGUUAUCCAGAGGUGUGGUGGUAAAAGGUAUGAGAUAGGAAAUAUCUCACCUUUUGGAGAAAAGAGGGGGACAGGCAAUUUAUGCCCAUGCCAAAAACUUACCCUCCCCCAUUUUAUAAUGGUGCCAUAUUUAGUUGUUUUUCUUAUUAAAAAUGAACACAUGCCCAUAAAAAUGCAACUUAUGUCCAGGUCUAUAAAGGAGAGGAGGGCCAAUUGAACUUGAGCUGGUGCCUAUCAGAAGUUGUAACCUCGUCAGAAAGAGGGGGACAAAGAAGCUUUUAUUUUGCUUGACACAGAUUUAAUAACAUCCCUGGAGAAACCGGUUGCAGUGUUAGAGAAUACUGUCUAAUUGCUGGGAAGGAUGUGACUGUUAAAGAUUUAAAUUAGGUAAAGCAACGGGCCCCGUGGUAGGUCCUCAGUAAAUGGUCACUGCUAUUUUCAACACUGUUUUCUUAAACACCCUCGGUAGAGUAUGCACUCCUGUGAAACAAACUUAAUUGAAUAGUGCCCUCCAGAGGCCACGGGGAUUCAACUGUGCUGACAGUUGGAAAAGACCAAAGAGAAACUCAGUUGUACGAGGACAAGGAAAUCAAGUGGAAACAAGCCUAGUUAGGCACCGUGGGAACGAGUGCUGGGAACUGCAAGUCCCCGAGCCCCUGGGAGCUCCUGUCCCAUCCCUCUCUCUCUGGGGACACUGUCUCUUGGCCCUGCAUCUCCACUCUGUGUUGCUCUAAUGGAACAUCAUCCUCUAGAAGUCUGCCCUUUUGUGACUUCAAGCAUGUAGCUCUGGCUCUGCCUGGACAUGAUUCUGGACUUGAGUCCGUUUGACCUUUCAGCUCAUCUCAAAGAACUAAGCAGAUUCAUCUCCGCUGGUUUGACUCCAGAGUCCCAGGACACAAACUAAUUACCAGUCUAGAGGUUGGGUUUACCUUAUCCAUCUCUGGUGACCAGAUGCUGGAGGUAGGGGUGUGUGUGUGUGUGUGUGUGUGUGAGGAGGGAGAUAGGGCCAGGGUCACCUAGUACACAACAGAUAUAGCACACAGAGAAUAUAAAAACUAUAAGAGGCAUUUCAAAUAAUCUCCUAACAGUGAGCUAAUAUUGAUAGUGUUUACCAUGCACCAUCCAUCCUACUAAGAGCCUUAAAACAAUCAUCUCAUUUAAUCUCACAACCGUCCCAUGAAAUUUGAUCCUAUUAUCAUCUCCCACCUUCACAAGGAACUGUUGGUAACAAUGGUUGUAUAUACUUCAGUAAUCUGUUCAGUGCAUUUUAUUCUUAUUUUACAGAUGAGUGAACAGAGGCUUAGAGAGGUAGAGUUUAUUACCUGACUGGGGAGAGAUGAGAUUUACACAUGUGAAAUGAUGACUAAAUGACACGGGAGUGAUUAAGUGCCAAAUUGUGUGUUGCCACUGUAUUCAUUUUCAUUGCUGUGUAACACAUCCCCACAAAUAUAGAAGCUUUGGGGCAAGCCCAUAGGUCAAAUGUACAGCACCGAACAAUGGGGCUUUCUGCUGGGUGUUUCAUGAGACUGACAUCAAGGUGUUGGCUGGGGCGGCCAACAAUCUCAUCUGGGGCUCAGGGGCCUCUUCCAGGCUCGUUGGUUGUUGGCAGAGUUUAGUGCUCUCAGUUUUAGGAUGGCGAUCCCCAUUUUCCUGCUAGUCGUCAGUCACCAACUGCUCGCAGGUCCUAGAGUGGCACCUUUCCACGGCCAGUUCACACCAUGAGUAUUUGCUUUCCUUCGGGGCAGCUGGAGCACAUCCCCUUGGCUGCCCCUUCUGCUAUUAGCCAGACAACGCUCUCUGCUUUUCAAGGACUCCUGUGAUAAGGUCAGGCCCACCCUUCUUAAAGUCAACUGUGAUGUGAUAUAAUCGUAUCAUGACAGUAAAAUCCAUCCAAUUCACAGUCCGGGGGAUACCGGGCUGUGUACAAGGUGGGAGUGUGUGAAAUCCUGGGUGCCGUCUUAGAAUCCUGUGUAUUAUACCCCUGAAAAUAGAUUUUGUAUGCGCAGGUCAGAGCUAUUCCCAGGAGGGGGAGAAGGAAAGGUUUGUGUGUGUGUCUUGGUGGGGGUUAGGGUUGGACUGGGCGUUGGGCCUUGAAGGAUGGACCAUGCUGGAAAAGACAGCAUUCCUCUGAGAUGACGGCCUUAGAAACUCAACACCAUCAUUCAAGAUAAUUUGGGGAAAUCAAUGGGUAAGAAUUUCAAACAAUAUUAGAAAAAAAUUUCAGCACCAAGAUCAAGGAGGAAGCUGGUACUACUAGAUGUUAUGACAUGAUCAAAAUACUAAGUGAUGAGCAUGAAAAUAGACAUAUAGAUGAGAACAAAAACAGAACACCUCAAAAGAGAAAUGUAUUAUAUAUGUAUGUGUAUCAGAAUAAAUCAAGCGUCACAAAUGAACUGAAGAAAAUUGAUUAUUAAAAAAUGAUGUUUGGAUAACUACACAGAAACUUGGAAAAAAAAAGAGACAAAAUUUCCACUAUAAUUUGAAUAAUUCCACAAUUAUUCAAAAUAAAUGCCAGUGAAAUUAAAAUGUAAAUUAUAAAGAUAGAUUUAAAAUGCAAUCAUGAAAAUUGGGAGAAGAGAGUUUCAGGUCUUUGGGAGGAUAAGGACAUCCUAAGAUUAAAGCAGAUUAAAUUGCAAAGACAAUUACAAAGAACAAACUCAAACUCAUCCACAGAAAGAGUUAAAAUUUCUACACAGUAGUAACACAAAUUUAUUAAAAGAUUAAGGGGGGGACUUUUAACUGCAUAGGGAUUAAAAGAUUAAGACCUAUAAUAUCUAAACACAUAUUCCAAUGCUGAAGAUUAGAACUCCCACAAAGAGUAGACAAAAGACAUGAAUAGGUGAUUUAGACAACAGGUAAAAUAAGCUAGGAAAAAAAAAAAAAACUGGCGGAAAACUGUCAAAUUCUCUGAUUAAGUCAAUGCAAAUUAAAACUAUAAAAGUGAUCCCUAUUUCAAUGAAUUUAGUUCAGUUCUAUUAAACAUAAUUUUAAAUCAUAAAACCCAGUCCUGAAAUGAUCCUUGUACAGUGCACUCACACAUUUUUGGUAAAAGUAUAAUUGGGGCAAGCCAUUUGUGAAAAGAAAUUUGGUAAAAUGUCCUUCGAUGUAGUACCUUCAUUCUAGGAAAUCUGUCCCAGGAGCAUGAUUCAAAUGGCAAAAAAGUCCUGGUCACAAGCAUUUUAAAUGCAGGAUUACACAUAAUAUUGAAUAACCGAGAAUAACAGAAAGAGCAUACUUAACCUUUUAAAUUGUCAUUGAUGAUUGUGCUUAUGAAGACUAUUAAGGUGGAACGUGUUUGAAUACGUUACGUGGAAAAAGAUACUACUGAAUUCUGCCUAGAGGAUAACUCAAUAUUUUAAAAGUGUUUCUAUGGUAUUGGUGAAAUUAUCAGAAAAACAGUACUUUUACAUACUGUCAUUAGAAACACAAAUUAGUAUACCUUCUUGGGCAAAACAAUCUGCAAUGAGUAAAAUAUUUUAAACGCGAUGUGUGGAGUUCCCUUCAUGGCUCAGGGGUUAAUGAACCUGACUAGGAUCCAUGAGGUUGCGGGUUCCAUCCCUGGCCUCGCUCAGUGGGUUAAGGAUCCCGGUGUUGCCGUGAGCUGUGGUGCAGGCCACAGAUGGGGCUUGGAUCUGGCACUGCUGUGGCUGUGGUGUAGGCUGGCAGCUGUCGCUCUGUUUCAAUCCCUAGCCUGGGAGCUUCCAUAUGCUGCAGGUAUGGCCCUAAAAAGCAAAAAAUUAAACAAAACAAAAUAAAAUUAAAAAAAUAAAAAAUUAAAUGUGAUUUGUUUGCAGAUUCCACUUCUAGGACUGUAUCCUUCACAUAAACGUGCAUGUACACACAUAGAGACAUGUGAAUGUACGAUUUAUUGUAGAAUUGUUGACACAGCAAAGAUUGUACAAUGAAAAUGCCCACUGAUUGGUGACUAGGUAAAUAAAUCACAUUAGAACCUUUUAGUGGGAUAUUAUACCGUUGUUAAAAAGAAAAAGAGGGAAAACGAUAUGUUCUUCUGAUUGAAACAAUCUCUAAUAUAGGUUUUUAAAUUUAAAAAAAAUAGUUAAGAUGCAGAAUAAUGUGGAGACGGUGUGCCCCCAUUUGUAUAAAAGAAAAAUAACACAGAGAACCUGUAUAUGCUUAGAGAAUUCUUGGAAAGAUACCCCCAAACUGGUAACACUGGGGCCCUGGGGUGCAGCUAGAGAGUGGGGUCUGAAUUGAGGAGAAUUCUCAUUCGCUGCCCUUCUGUUCUAUUUGAAUGUUCUGCCAUGUGCAAGCAUUACUUUCCAAUGGCAAAAUAAUAGUUAAGAAAGGUCAUCUGAAAAAUGUUUUGCAGAGGAACAGAGAUGAGAUGGAAAUAGAUCUGUUGAAUUAGUGUGUUAGGGCGAUAUUCCACAUGGUCCCAGAUUAGAUAUUAACAUAGAAAAAUUAAAUUAAUUGAGAAUUAGAGUAGUAGAAUGGCAAGUCAUUCUUUCCUCUAAAAUGCAAUUUCAAUAUUGUUUUAAUGUUGCCAGUGAAAUAAAUGAAGAUUAGUGUGGGGGGAGGGACUGGGUGCCUGGGGAAUUAACUAAUAGCUUUAUAAAUAUGCUGCUCUGGAAUGAAUAAAGGGAAGAAUAAUCAGCCAAAGAGAGCUUGCAAAAUGGUCCAGGGAGUAAGCAAAAUUAGCAAGAGGAGUGUGUGUGUGUGUGUGUGUGUGUGUGUGUGUGUGUGUGUGUAUGCGGGGUGGGGUGGAGUCAGAGUGUCUGCUUGGUGGCGCAGCUGGCCAGGACACGCCAAGAGAGGAACUCAGGGACCACCUGGACAGCAAGCACAGAGGAACUGGGUAGGCUGAGGAAGGGGUCCAGACCUGCAGAAUACUAGGCUGAUGAGAAACAUCUAGAUCCCACCACAAAUCUCAAAUGAGACAUUUCCUUAGAGGGUAGGGCUAACCUCUAUACCUGUGAGAUGACUACUCUAGAAUUGUUUUUUUUUAUAUAUAUAUAUAGCUGAUUUACAGUGUUCUGUCAAUUUCUGCUAUACAGCAAAGUAACUCGGUUAUACAUAUAACUUCUUCUCACAUUAUCUUCUAUCAUGUUCUAUCACAGGUGAUUGGAUAUAGUUCCCUGUGCUAUACAGCAAGAUGUUAUUGCUUAUCCAUUCUAAGUGUAAUAGUUUGUAUCUAUUAACCCCAAACUCCCAGUCCAUGCCACUCCCUCCCCUUCCCCCUUGGCAAACACAGGUCUGCUCUCCAUGUCUGUAAGACUGUUCCAUUCUGUAGAUAGGUUCAUCUGUGCCAUAUUUUAGAGUCUACAAAUAAGUGAUAUCAUAUGGUAUUUGUCUUUCUCUUUCUGACUUACUUCACUUAGUGUGAGAAUCUCUAGUUCCAUUCAUGUUGCUCCAAAUGGCAUUAUUUUGUUCUUUUUAACGGCUGAGUAGUAUUCCAUUGUGUAUAUGUAUCACAUCUUCUUAAUCCAUUCAUCUGUCAAUGGACAUUUAGGUUGUUUCCGUGUCUUGGCUAUUGUGAAUAGUGCUGCAAUGAACAUAGGACUGCAUGUAUCUUUUUGAAGGAAAGUUUUGUCUGGAUAUAUGCUCAGGAUGGGAUUGCUGGAUCAUAUGGUAGUUCUAUAUUUAGUUUUCUGAGGAACCUCCAUACUGUUUUCCAUAGUGGUUGUACCAAUUUACAUUCCCACCAAUAGUGGAGGAGGGUUCCCUUUUCUCCACAUUCUCUCCAGCAUUUGUUAUUUGUAGUCUUAUUGCUGAUGGCCAUUCUGACUGGUGGUACCUCGUUGCAGUUUUGAUUUGCAUUUCUCUAAUAAGUAGUGAUGUUGGACUUCCCGUUGUGGCACAGUGGUAACAGACAUGACCAGUAUACAUGAAGAAGUGGGUUCGAUCCCUGGCUCUGUUCAGUGGGUUAAGGAUCUGGUGUAGCUGUGGGCUGAGGUAUAUGUUGCAGAUGCAGCUGGAAUCUGGCAUUGCUGUGGCUGUGGCAUAGGCUGGCAGCUGAAGCUCCGAUUCGCCCCUAGCCUAGGAACUUCUAUAUGCCAAGGGUACAGCCCUAAAAAGCGAAAACAAAAAACAAAAAAAACCCAAAACCAAAACAAACAAACAACAAUAUUUAGCAUAUUUUCAUGUGCCUGUUGGCAUCCAUAUGUUUUGUUUGGAAAAAUAUCUAUUUAGGUCUUUCGCUCAUUUUUCUUUUUCUUUUUCUUUUUUCUUUUAUUUUUUUUGCUGUUGAGUGUAUGAGAGUUGUCU